rnacentral:rRNA from 1 species
CGGAAUGCUUUACACAUGCAAGUCGAACGGCAGCAUAGAGAGCUUGCUCUCUGAUGGCGAGUGGCGAACGGGUGAGUAAUAUAUCGGAACGUGCCUAGUAAUGGGGAAUAACUAGCUGAAAGGUUAGCUAAUGCCGCAUACGACCUACGGGUGAAAGCAGGGGAUCUUCGGACCUUGCGUUAUUAGAGCGGCCGAUAUCUGAUUAGCUUGUUGGUGGGGUAAUGGCCUACCAAGGCGACGAUCAGUAGCUGGUCUGAGAGGACGAUCAGCCACACUGGAACUGAGACACGGUCCAGACUCCUACGGGAGGCAGCAGUGGGGAAUUUUGGACAAUGGGGGCAACCCUGAUCCAGCCAUUCCGCGUGAGUGAAGAAGGCCUUCGGGUUGUAAAGCUCUUUCGCAAGAGAAGAAAACUUGCUAUCUAAUAAAUAGUAAGUAUGACGGUAUCUUGACAAGAAGCACCGGCUAACUACGUGCCAGCAGCCGCGGUAAUACGUAGGGUGCAAGCGUUAAUCGGAAUUACUGGGCGUAAAGCGUGCGCAGGCAGUUUUAUAAGUCAGAUGUGAAAUCCCCGAGCUCAACUUGGGAACUGCGUUUGAAACUGUAAGACUAGAGUGUGUCAGAGGGGGGUAGAAAUUCCAAGUGUAGCAGUGAAAUGCGUAGAGAUUUGGAGGAAUACCAAUGGCGAAAGGCAGCCCCCCUGGGAUAACACUGA